rnacentral:rRNA from 1 species
UACGUAGGUGGCAAGCGUUGUCCGGAUUUAUUGGGUUUAAAGGGUGCGUAGGCGGCCCUGUAAGUCAGUGCUGAAAUAUCCCGGCUUAACCGGGAGGGUGGCAUUGAUACUGCGGGGCUAGAGUACAGAUGAGGUAGGCGGAAUUGACGGUGUAGCGGUGAAAUGCUUAGAUAUCGUCAAGAACACCGAUAGUGAAGACAGCUUACUAGGCUUAUAUUGACGCUGAGGCACGAAAGUGUGGGGAUCAAACAGG